rnacentral:rRNA from 1 species
UCACGCAUCGCGUCUCCCCCAAACCCACCUCGAGUGGAGGGGAAGGACGAUGGCUUCCCGUGUCUCACCGGACGCGGCUGGCCUAAAAUUGGAGCCCUCGGCAUGUGGAUGCCGCGGCGAUAGGUGGUGAACAUGCCUCGGCCAAGCAAGCAACCCGUCGCGCAUCGCCAUGCCAUUGCGAGCUCGAAGGACCCUUUGACGUUGCCUUGUUGCAACCAAACCGUUGCGAC